rnacentral:rRNA from 1 species
GACUCACGCGGGAAUCUUACCGGGUCCGGACACACUGAGGAUUGACAGAUAUACGCUGCGUUGCUCUCGAGCACGUGGCUCAAAGAUGCUAGUUCUUUCAUGAUUAUGUGAUAGGUGGUGCAUGGCCGUUCUUAUUUCGUGGAGUGAUCUGUCUGCUUAAUUGCGUAUCAAUAAUAGAGACCUAGUAUACGCGUAUUACUCAUGUGGUAGUUACCCCCUUCUCACGGAGGCGCGCGUCGCACAUAUGGUAUACGCACUGGUCUCAGAUAGCAACGAACGUGACCGUAUUCUAUUGUUGCAGUGAAUUAUACGUGUGCUUUAUGCAUACAUUCCCACUGCUUAGUGUGCGUAUCAGUACUUGUACUGUGCGUCACACAUUAAACUAUAGAGACCGCUGUUUCUUCUUUAAACCAGAGGAAGGAUACGGCAAUAACAGGUCUGUGAUGCCCUCAGAUGUUCCGGGCUGCGCACGUGCUACAAUGAUCAUUGCACUGUGCAUCUAACCCAAUGUGCGCGGACGCCACGAUAUGUAUUUGCCUUCGGGCAUUUUAUAUAUUCGCUUGUGCGACUGCGCCGAACCUACUUCGAAAGUAAAAUUUUUAAGUGGGUAAUCCAUUAGAGGUAAUGACUCGCAUAGACCAUGGCACACUAUAUGUACGCGCAGGUCUACCCGGCUCGCCUUUGUGUGAGUGCAGUGCGUAGCUUGUUGUUUCGUACGUGCCACUCCGUAUUAAUUCGUACGUGGGGAUAGAUCAUUGUUUAAUUGUUGGUCUCGGUCUUAACUAGGAAUGCCUUGUACGGGUCUUUGGUUCAACAUA